rnacentral:rRNA from 1 species
UACGUAGGGUCCAAGCGUUAUCCGGAAUUACUGGGCGUAAAGCGUACGCAGAUGGCGUGAUAGGUGGGUUGUGAAAUCCUGUGGCUCAACCAUAUGGACUAUGACCCAAACCAUCACACUAGAGGUUGGUAGAGGCAAGCGGAAUUUCCGGUGUAGCAGUGACAUGCGUAGAUAUCGGAAGGAACACCAAUGGCGAAGGCAGCUUGCUGGGCCACACCUGACGUUAAGGUACGAAAGCGUGGGGAGCGAA